CAGUAGGGAGGAAGGUAGUGUAGUUAACACCUGCAUUAUUUGACGUUACCUACAGAAGAAGCACCGGCUAACUCCGUGCCAGCAGCCGCGGUAAUACGGAGGGUGCGAGCGUUAAUCGGAAUUACUGGGCGUAAAGCGCAUGCAGGCGGCCUGUUAAGUCAGAUGUAGAAAGCCCGGGGACGUUAACCUACGGUAAUUGCUAUUUAGUAAACUGGCAGGCUAGAGUCUUGUAGAGGGGGGUAGGAAUUUCAGGUGUAGCGGUGAAAUGCGUAGAGAUCUGAAGGAAUACCAGUGGCGAAGGCGGCCCCCUGGACAAAGACUGACGCUCAGAUGCGAAAGCGUGGGGAGCAAACAGGAUUAGAUACCCUGGUAG
rnacentral:rRNA from 1 species